rfam:TPA: Bos taurus chromosome 3, whole genome shotgun sequence.
UCCCAGGUAGCUUAGUGGUAAAGAAUCUGCCUUCCAAGCAGAAGAUGCAGAUUUGAUCCCUGGAUCAGGAA